GGCCUGGUAGCACAAUUGGCUAUAGUGUGUCUGCUGAUACAUAAUAUCGGGAAAAUGUAGUAUGCAGAAGAUCCCCGUUCGAUCCGGGGUCAGGCCA